UCUGUGAUAGGGAGCGGGUGUUCAGGGCAGCAGCCACAAGGCUAGUUCCCCGCCACGGUGGUGGGUGACCCUGGGAAGAAUCACUUCCCUGUGUCGCAGGCAGGGAUGGGGGUGGGUGGUCUUUGGCCACCCCUGCGAAAUGCGUCUCAGUCUGGGAGGACUUUGACCCAAAUUCUUGGUUUCCCUUCAAAUAUUUCUUGGUUCAGUUUUUUCUUCCGGGAAAUGCCUUUGGCCCAUUUUUCUAUUCAGUGGCUUGCCCUGACGUAUGAUGUUGUAGGAGCUCUUUCUGAAGUCUGGAAAAUAAUCCCACCUCAGUUUUUCGUGUUUCAGAUUCUUUCUCCCCUCGGGGGCUUGUUCCAUCCACUCAUUGCAGGGCUCUUUUGGACUGAGUAUUUGCCUCAGCACCGUGAAUUGUAAGUAACCCCAAAGGUCAUGAAGUGUCCCACUGCCUGUCCCUGUAGAGGCUGUGACAACCUCAGAUGAGUAUCCCCUGGAGGACGUGCCCAUGCGUCCAGCACUCUGCCCAGUAGAGAUGGCUCCUUCAUUGCUCUCUUGAAUUCAUUCGUUCACCCUGUAGGUUUCAUUUGGUGUCCUGGACUCACACCGGGUCAUGUUAACACACAGCGCACGCCCACAGGAGAAGCCCAGGGCAGCUGUGCAGUGCGUGAAAACAGCCAGCCUUGUUUCCUUGUGCCCAGCCACUCUGCAUAUUGUCUUCGCUCCUGAAUCCCGAAUCUGGCCUCUUUCUCAGACCUCCCUCUACCCUUUUCCUGUCCUCUCUCUCUGCUGGGCAGCUCCAGUUUGGGGUUUGGCUGUGUCUCUCUCAACACGGCCCGCUUCACAUGGUACCACCCUGAGAAUUGUAUUCUUGUUUUGUUUUAGUGACACUCUGAGUGGACAAGAAGAAGCUGCAUCCCAGUCAACCUGCAGACACAGGCGGCCACUGGGACUCCAUUGGUUAGGUGUGGUGCCUAACACACAGAUUGUGGAAGAACAGAGUUUGAGCCUUCCAGCCUUUCCUCCCAGUGCUUCACCUGUAUCUCUCCACAGACAGAAAUAUUUCAACAGAGAACCAAGUGAAAAUUAUGACAUAUUACCUUCUCAAAGUCCUGAACUCCCAUUCCUACCUCAGAAGGGACUCCUCUGUUUGCAGAAACUAAAGGCAGUCCCUAAGGCCACUUCCUUCCCAAGGGCAAUGGUCUACAUCUUCCCAAGUAUUCUGAUCUCCAAAUGCCCACAGACCAGCAGAGGAAAGCAAUGGCCAUGAAUGCUCCUUCCUAUCCCAGGAACUGACUGACUGGGCUCUCUUGCAGUUUCAGAGACAGAGGACCAAAUGUGCUGCCUACACUUCUCCAACACCAGAACUGGUGGAUCAAGAGAGAGUGUACUCUGGCUGUGGUGACCUGGAACUUGAAUUGUGGGAUGAUGGGGCAGUAUGGCGCAGCAAUCAGGGACUCCGAUGGGGCUGAUAGACCCCUAGUGAGUUAUGCACCACUGACAAGCUGGAGACCUUUUCGUCCUUUGCCAAAAUCACACAUGGCUCACUUGCUGAACGCUGCGGCAAAUGCUGUUCUCUCUGCUUGGAUCCAGAAGUCAGUAAGGGUUGACAGUGUGCAGAAGUAUCUGGAACCUUACUGAUGACAAAUGCUGCUGAUGGCUGGACUAAUAUCGCGUGAGAGAGGCUGCUGGUGGUGUUGCUCAGUGCACUGUCCCUUCCUCUGGCCUGUUUAGCUCUAUCAAGAAUGACAUGGAGAGACCACUGAUGGCC